rnacentral:rRNA from 1 species
GGGNCGNCUAGCCAUGCGAGUCGAGAGGGUUCGGCCCUCGGCGAACUGCUCAGUAACACGUGNGAUAAUCUAACCUUAGGUGGAGCAUAACCUCGGGAAACUGAGAAUAAUACUCCAUAGAUCUUUGAGGCUGGAAUGCGCUUAGAUUGAAAGCUUCGGCGCCUAAGGAUGAGUCUGCGGACUAUCAGGUAGUAGUCAGGGUAAAGACCUGACUAGCCUACGACGGAUACGGGUUGUGAGAGCAAUAACCCGGAGAUGAUAUCUGAGACACGAUAUCAGGCCCUACGGGGCGCAGCAGGCGCGAAAACUUCACAAUGCGCGAAAGCGCGAUGAGGGGAUCCCAAGUGCUUGCACGUAAGUGUAAGCUGUUUUUCUGUCUAAAAAGCAGAGAGAGUAAGGGCUGGGUAAGACGGGUGCCAGCCGCCGCGGUAAUACCUGCAGCUCAAGUGGUGGCCGCUAUUAUUGGGCCUAAAACGUCCGUAGCCGGCUGAGUAAAUGCCUGGGUAAAUCGUGUGGCUUAACCAUACGAAUUCCGGGUAGACUGCUCAGCUUGGGACCGGAAGAAGUUAGAGGUACUCCUGGGGUAGGGGUGAAAUCCUGUAAUCCUGGGGGGACCACCAGUGGCGAAGGCGUCUAACUAGGACGGGUCUGACGGUGAGGGACGAAGCCCUGGGGCGCAAACCGGAUUAGAUACCCGGGUAGUCCAGGGUGUAAACGCUGCUUGCUUGAUGUUAGCUGGG